UACGGAGGAUGCGAGCGUUAUCCGGAUUUAUUGGGUUUAAAGGGUGCGUAGGUGGGACCUUAAGUCAGUGGUGAAAGUUUGUCGCUCAACGAUAAAAUUGCCAUUGAAACUGGGGACCUUGAGUAUGUUUGAGGUAGGCGGAAUGCGUGGUGUAGCGGUGAAAUGCAUAGAUAUCACGCAGAACUCCGAUUGCGAAGGCAGCUUGCUAAACCAUAACUGACACUGAUGCACGAAAGCGUGGGUAUCAAAC
rnacentral:rRNA from 1 species